CCUAUAGCGGUGCGUCAUAUAAUUUUUUCGAUGGUGCCGUCUGUACCUUCUGUAGCAGUGCCCCCACAGAAUCCUACUUUGAUUGUGGCUCUGCAGCUACCACUUCAAUCAGAGCCGCAGGCACCUCCUCAAAGUCCGAAGAGGAGGUUUGACUCAUCAAAGUCGCCUUAGGGCCCAGCAGCCAGCCCGAUGGGGAUCUCCAAGCCCAUAGUCGGGCCAUAACUCAACCCCC
rnacentral:lncRNA from 1 species